rnacentral:ncRNA from 1 species
GACGAGACGUUGAUAAGGAGUAGUAGUGGUUUAGCUGAAAUAAGAGAAUUGGCGGUUGCUGCAAGCCAAUCAGUAACAUCACGAACUCGCCUUUGAGUUGCAAAUAUGAGUGAAACAUUUUCAUAGUAUUUGCCGUGUUCCGCGAUAAGGAUAAAUGAGUGAGUGCUUGCACUAAUCUGGGUGGUACCGCGGGAGAUAUAAUAUAGCCUCUCGUCCCAUAU